GAGCCAGUCUUUGGAGACAUGGGUCCUAAAAACUUCUGUGAUUCCUUUUCUAUUGACAAAUGUAUUUGGAAAAUAUUUAGGAAGGAUGCCAAGCUCAGCCACUUCAGUCCCUCAUUCUGAUCCUGCCUAAUUCUGCCACCCUGCCCCUUUGCUUGUUCACCACCAGAGCAAGCUCUGAGGAUGUCCCUGUGAGAAAGAGGACACGAGACAAGGACCUGGGGCCCCACUCCAUUGCUUCUGUUUCACCCUUUCUUCCUAUUCCUCCUCCUCUUUUUUUUUUUUUUGGUGACGGAGUUGCGCUCUGUUGCCCAGGCUGGAGUGCGAUGGGGCGAUCUCAGCUCACUGCAAGCUCCGCCUCCCGGGUUCACGCCAUUCUCCUGCCUCAGCCUCCCGUCACAGACCUCAGUGGCAUUUGUGAUAUUUUGUCCCAUCUGCUUUUGGCUUUGCCUUUAUCCUUUUCUUUGCCCUAUACUUGUUGGCUGAAGGAUAAAACUGCUUUUUGGCACUGGUGUGACAUUUUUUUUAAAAAAAUAGAAAAACGGGCCAAUAUUUUUCCUUGGUGACUUUAGAGCUCUGUGAGUGAGCAGCGGAGGAGACUGGGCGGGUCGCAGAGGGCGCUGUGGGCGAGUUCCCCA
rnacentral:lncRNA from 1 species